GCCUGACUGCGGAUAGGUCAGUGGGUAGAGCAUGAGACUUGUAAUCUCAGGGUUGGGGGUUCGAGCCCCACGUUGGGCA